UACGUAGGGCGCAAGCGUUGUCCGGAAUUACUGGGCGUAAAGCGCACGUAGGCGGACUGUUAAGUCGGGGGUGAAAUCCUGGGGCUCAACCUCAGAAUUGCCUCCGAUACUGGCAGUCUCGAGUGCGGGAGAGGUGAGUGGAAUUCCCAGUGUAGAGGUGAAAUUCGUAGAUAUUGGGGAAGAACACCAGUGGGCGAAAGGCG
rnacentral:rRNA from 1 species